UACGAAGGGUGCAAGCGUUAAUCGGAAUUACUGGGCGUAAAGGGUGGGUAGGGGGUAGGUUAAGUCUGUUGGGAAAUCCCCGGGCUCAACCUGGGAAUGGCAAUGGAUACUGGCUGGCUAGAGUGUGUCAGAGGAUGGUGGAAUUCCCGGUGUAGCGGUGAAAUGCGUAGAGAUCGGGAGGAACAUCAGUGGCGAAGGCGGCCAUCUGGGACAACACUGACGCUGAAGCAUGAAAGCGUGGGGAGCAAACAGG
rnacentral:rRNA from 1 species